rnacentral:rRNA from 1 species
UACGUAGGGUGCGAGCGUUAAUCGGAAUUACUGGGCGUAAAGCGUGCGCAGGCGGUCUGUUAAGACCGAUGUGAAAUCCCUGGGCUUAACCUGGGAACUGCAUUGGUGACUGGCAGGCUUUGAGUGUGGCAGAGGGAGGUAGAAUUCCACGUGUAGCAGUGAAAUGCGUAGAGAUGUGGAGGAAUACCGAUGGCGAAGGCAGCCUCCUGGGCCAACACUGACGCUCAUGCGCGAAAGCGUGGGGAGCAAACAGG